GACAGACACCAAGGGCGAGCGCUGGGCAUUGCAGCAGAAGUACUGCACUCCAGGACCAUCUUCUCCUGCCUCACUGCCUGCUGGACUGGUCUAUAGACUGUGAGAACAAAUUGGUUCCUUUCUACUUGAUGCCUCCUCGUUGGACCUGGCUGGUUAAUUUUGAUGUUUCAUUUGGAUUUCUGUUCUGGUUGAGAAGCACAACUCGUGCUUCUUCACAAUCAAAUUUUGUGAGAACAAAUUGGUUCCUUUCUACUUGAUGCCUCCUCGUUGGACCUGGCUGGUUAAUUUUGAUGUUUCAUUUGGAUUUCUGUUCUGGUUAAGAAGCAUGACUCGUUCCUUUUCACAUUCAAAUUUUGUGAGAACAAAUUGGUUCCUUUCUACUUGAUGCCUCCUCGUUGGACCUGGCUGGUUAAUUUUGAUGUUUUAUUUGGAUUUCUGUUCUUGUUAAGAAGCACAACUCGUACUUAUUCACAAUCAAAUUUCAGUGAUUUACCAAGAUAUGGGUCAAGAAGCUUUAUGCCUUAUGUGGAGAAUCUUUGUUCUGGAACGCUUUUAACAUUUUUUUCUAUAUUUUAUAUGGUAACAUUA